rnacentral:rRNA from 1 species
CGAAGGGGCGUAGCGUUGCUCGGAAUCACUGGGCGUAAAGGGCGCGUAGGCGGCCAUUCAAGUCGGGGGUGAAAGCCUGUGGCUCAACCACAGAAUUGCCUUCGAUACUGUUUGGCUUGAGUUUGGUAGAGGUUGGUGGAACUGCGAGUGUAGAGGUGAAAUUCGUAGAUAUUCGCAAGAACACCAGUGGCGAAGGCGGCCAACUGGACCAAUACUGACGCUGAGGCGCGAAAGCGUGGGGAGCAAACAGGAUU